rnacentral:rRNA from 1 species
CAGCCGCCACGGUAAUACGUAGGUGGCAAGCGUUGUCCGGAAUUAUUGGGCGUAAAGGGCUCGCAGGCGGUUUCUUAAGUCUGAUGUGAAAGCUCCCGGCUCAACCGGGGAGGGUCAUUGGGAACUGGGAAACUUGAGUGCAGAAGAGGAGAGUGGAAUUCCACGUGUAGCGGUGAAAUGCGUAGAGAUGUGGAGGAACACCAGUGGCGAAGGCGACUCUCUGGUCUGUAACUGACGCUGAGGAGCGAAAGCGUGGGGAGCGAACAGGAUUAGAUACCCCUGUAGUCCCUGUCUCUUAUAC